rnacentral:tRNA from 1 species
GAUAGCUCAGUUGGGAGAGCGCCAGACUGAAGAUCUGGAGGUCCUUGCUGCGGUCGUAUCACAGACUAACG